rnacentral:rRNA from 1 species
UACAGAGGUCCCGAGCGUUGUUCGGAUUCAUUGGGCGUAAAGGGUGCGUAGGCGGCGGGGCAAGUCUGAUGUGAAAUCCCGGGGCUCAACCCCGGAACUGCAUUGGAUACUGCCUUGCUUGAGUACUGGAGAGGAGACUGGAAUUUACGGUGUAGCAGUGAAAUGCGUAGAUAUCGUAAGGAAGGCCAGUGGCGAAGGCGGCUCUCUGGACCGAUACUGACGCUGAGGCGCGAAAGCGUGGGGAGCAAACAGG